GGGGUGCUCGAGUGGCGGACGGGUGAGUAACACGUGAGUAACCUGCCCUUGACUUUGGGAUAACUUCAGGAAACUGGGGCUAAUACCGGAUAGGAGCUCCUGCUGCAUGGUGGGGGUUGGAAAGUUUCGGCGGUUGGGGAUGGACUCGCGGCUUAUCAGCUUGUUGGUGGGGUAGUGGCUUACCAAGGCUUUGACGGGUAGCCGGCCUGAGAGGGUGACCGGCCACAUUGGGACUGAGAUACGGCCCAG
rnacentral:rRNA from 1 species